rnacentral:rRNA from 1 species
UACGUAGGAGGCGAGCGUUGUCCGGAAUUACUGGGCGUAAAGAGCGCGUAGGCGGCACGGUACGACCGGUGUGAAAGCCCCCGGCUCAACUGGGGAGGGUCACCGGUAACGGCCGAGCUAUGAGUGCAGGAGAGGGAAGUGGAACUCCGGGAGUAGCGGUGAAAUGCGUAGAGACCCGGAGGAACACCAGUGGCGAAGGCGACUUCUUGGCCUGUUCUUGACGCUGAGGCGCGAAAGCUGGGGGAGCAAACGGG